AUUGAACGCUGGCGGCAUGCUUUACACAUGCAAGUCGAACGGUAACAGGCCGCAAGGUGCUGACGAGUGGCGAACGGGUGAGUAAUGCAUCGGAACGUGCCCAGUCGUGGGGGAUAACGCAGCGAAAGCUGCGCUAAUACCGCAUACGAUCUAUGGAUGAAAGCGGGGGACCGUAAGGCCUCGCGCGAUUGGAGCGGCCGAUGUCAGAUUAGGUAGUUGGUGGGGUAAAGGCUCACCAAGCCAACGAUCUGUAGCUGGUCUGAGAGGACGGCCAGCCACACUGGGACGGAGACACGGCCCAGACUCCUACGGGAGGCAGCAGUGGGGAAUUUUGGACAAGGGGCGCAAGCAUGAUCCAGCAAUGCCGCGUGCAGGAAGAAGGCCUUCGGGUUGUAAACUGCUUUUGUACGGAACGAAACGGUCCUGGUUAAUACCUGGGGCUAAUGACGGUACCGUAAGAAUAAGCACCGGCUAACUACGUGCCAGCAGCCGCAGUAAGAC
rnacentral:rRNA from 1 species